GCACCUGCAGGUGCAGCUCAUCUCAGACUCAUCUUGGAAUGCUGCAAAACCUCAUCCUGGUGCCUGUGUUGUCACAGAGCUGGGCUCAGCCCUGGGGCUUCUUGCAUUUCACCUUGUCCCAGGGACCAGCCAGCUGGGCUGGGCUGGCCACUACCCCAAGGAUGGGUUUUGCUGAGGAAACACGGCAUUCCUAAAUUCUUCAGCUGCCGCGUUGCACUGCCACACCAGAAGCACCCAUCUCUGGGAGUGCCCAGGGAGAGGUGACCUCUGUUCUCACUCCAGGUGGGACACAGACCUGCAGGUGCCGUGGAAUUUUUGGCUUCUUCAUUUUAACAGAUUUUUCUUUCUGACCCUAUGGAAACGGCCAAGCAUGGCAACAUCCUGGUUUGGCUUGUUUUGGGGAGGACAGUGGAUGGUGCUUGGGUCUGGAGGGGUAGAAGGCUGAGUGGCUGGAGGGAUCGAGGGAUGUCUGGGAAGGGCAGGGGGGCAUUACUAUGGACAUGGAGAAGUGGAGGAAUGGGGGGAUAAGGGCUGGCUGGGAGGAAUGGAGAAUAAAGGCAUGACAGGAGGGAUGGGUAGGGGAUGGGUAGAAGAAUGGAGAGAGGCAAAACUGAAUGGCUGGAGGGAUGGUGGACUGGAGGAUGGUUGGGACAACUGCUUGAAUUGGAAACUUCUCAUUCAGCCUGAAUUCAAGAGUGUUCUGUGGUGGGGACCAGUCCCUGAGGGCAGGCCAAAGAGAACAGCACAUCCAGCAGCACUGUCACACGAUGGCAGAUCUCGGCCCAGCUGAGAUCUGAGCUGGUGGUGUCCUCCUGCCACUUUUUAGGAAGAGGCUCCCCAGAAGGGGAAAAUUCCCCAACCAGCUGCAUGUUUAUCCCGAGCAGGAUGGUCAUGGCUAUGCUGAUCCCUUCUCAUGCCAGCCCUGCCAUCCUGGAGGACCCGGACACGCAGCACGGAGCAGGAGCAGAGUGGACCCAGCAAGCAGAGCCCUGCACAUGCCUGGCCAGAGGGGGCACACGCAGAGGGACAUGGGCUGGCCAACACCUGGUGGUUCUGCUGUGAUGCAUUCGUGGGGCAAUUGAGGCUGAGCCUUCACAUGGGACCCUCAACCCUGGGACUGAUGUUUUGUGCUCCGAAACAUGACUGCACAACAAGCAGAUCCUGGCUCUGAAUGAAUUCUGCAGCCAAGGAGAGCCUCUGCCUGGAAGUGGCAACUCUGCAGCCUCCUCUCACCCUAAGAAUGCACUGGAACUUCAGUUCUCAUCUUCUCAGCUGAAAAAUUCCUUCGUACCUGUGUCCAGUCCUCAGCAAUGUUCUCAAACAUGAUGCAGUUGCACAGACAGA